CAUAAACAGAGUUGGUAACUAUCCUGAUGUCCUCCUUGAAUUUGCAGUGAUCAUUUUAUUACAGGAAAAUCUGCUUCUCUUUUCUCACAGAAUGAUCCUGAUUGGGUUCCAUCCUUAAAUAUGGGGCACAAAAAGUUUAAGUUUGAGGUUGAAAAACCUAGAGAAAGAUACUUACGACACAAAAAUCGUUCAUUGUUAACAAGUCCAAAUGAUUCUAUGUCUUGUACUUAUUUAAACCCUUCUGAAGAUUCAAUUGUAGAUUUUCAAAUAGAGAAUUUUAAAAGUAGUGAAUCAAUUGUCUCAGAAAGUGUUACAAUAGAUUGU